CACAAAUUAUCUUUAUCUGCAUGUUUCAACUAUCUUAGCUACAUUAUCUCAUGCAUAGAACUUUUUUGAAAUUUAUCAAUAUGGCUUUACUAUCAGAAAUUCUUCAAUAACAAUCUUCAUUCUUAACUUACGUAUAUCGUAACAAGCUUGUAAGCAUAAUAUGUUCAGAACUCUGUCCUUUCUAAUGGAAAAUAAUACUUAUUUAAGCAAUUUUAUCAGCUACGAACGACCACUACUACGAUGUAUGCAUGUGAAUAAUAUUUACAUUUUUUAUUCCUAUGUCUACUGUUUAAACUAAGUAUUGUAAAUACUUAUAAAAUUUUAUUAUGAUAUAAUGAGCUUGUUCUUUAUUUUGCAAAGCAAUAUGGCUUGCAUAUAAUACAUAGGCUACAAUUCAAUGUACAUUCAAGUAUUGAAAAGCUUUUCCUGUCUUUCCAAUUUAAAAACACUCAACUUCGGCGACG